GUGUCCCUGGCCCGGCUGCUAAGCAGCAGAAGGAGAUCCAGCCAAUGCAGAGAGCUGCAGCUUCUACAAGUUGCGGACGCUAUGAAGUUCCCUUGGAGGACUUGUAUGAGGCUCCAGACAAGACUAUAUCAAUGGAAGAGCUACAGCAGCCCAAGAAAGAGAGAUAAGCCCUCUGGCUGCCGGAACAAUGUAUCUCUUAACCCUCCCUCCCGAAGGACCCGGACCGAGACAGGGGAAGCCGACCUUGUUGAUGGGGUUGCCGGCACCUCUCCGGGCACCUCCGAGAUAGCAGCUGUCACGAUGGGGCAGAUGAGAAGGGCUUCCCGUCUCAUCUGCUUAUUUUAUGGGUAUGUCUUUUUUUCGGGGAAACAGGGUUAGUAGACUAACUUUUCUGCCCUUGUCUAACAUUUAAAGAAGCAAACAUCUGGGAAUACCCCUUCAAGAGAAACAUGGAGGUCAGUUAGGUCUCUCUGGCUGAGAACACAGAAAGCCUGUAUGUGUGAGAAACUCAUGUAAAAAGGUUGCUGGAAGUGUUUUUGGUAAGCUGGCAAAAAGAAGCUCUUCAGUAAGUUAGGGAUGUUUUUUGUAUAGUAAGUGCCAGACAGGCAAGGAUUUUCUUUUGCUGCUGUUUUGUUUGCUUUGAUUUAU